UACAGAGGUCUCAAGCGUUGUUCGGAUUCAUUGGGCGUAAAGGGUGCGUAGGUGGCGCCAUAAGUCGGGUGUGAAAUCUCGGGGCUUAACUCCGAAACUGCAUUCGAUACUGUGGUGCUUGAGGACUGGAGAGGAGACUGGAAUUCAUAGUGUAGCAGUGAAAUGCGUAGAGAUCAUGAGGAAGACCAGUGGCGAAGGCGGGUCUCUGGACAGUUCCUGACACUGAGGCACGAAGGCCAGGGGAGCAAACGGG
rnacentral:rRNA from 1 species